rnacentral:rRNA from 1 species
CCUACGGGUGGCAGCAGUGAGGAAUAUUGGUCAAUGGACGAGAGUCUGAACCAGCCAAGUAGCGUGAAGGAUGACUGCCCUAUGGGUUGUAAACUUCUUUUAUAUGGGAAUAAAAUGUUCCACGUGUGGGCUUUUGUAUGUACCAUAUGAAUAAGGAUCGGCUAACUCCGUGCCAGCAGCCGCGGUAAUACGGAGGAUCCGAGCGUUAUCCGGAUUUAUUGGGUUUAAAGGGAGCGUAGGUGGAUUGUUAAGUCAGUUGUGAAAGUUUGCGGCUCAACCGUAAAAUUGCAGUUGAAACUGGCAGUCUUGAGGACAGUAGAGGUGGGCGGAAUUCGUGGUGUAGCGGUGAAAUGCUUAGAUAUCACGAAGAACUCCGAUUGCGAAGGCAGCUCACUGGACUGCAACUGACACUGAGGCUCGAAAGUGUGGGUAUCAAACAGGAUUAGAUACCCUAGUAGUC